rnacentral:rRNA from 1 species
UACGUAGGGACCGAGCGUUGUCCGGAUUUAUUGGGCGUAAAGAGCUCGUAGGCGGCUGCUCAAGUCGAAUGUGAAAACUCGAGGCUCAACCUCGAGCCUGCAUUCGAUACUGGGCGGCUAGAGUCUGGUAGGGGGAUCUGGAAUUCCUGGUGUAGCGGUGGAAUGCGCAGAUAUCAGGAGGGACACCGGUGGCGAAGGCGGAUCUCUGGGCCAUUACUGACGCUGAGGAGCGAAAGCGUGGGGAGCGAACAGG